CGGGACGGGUGAGUAAUGUCUAGGGAAACUGCCGAUGGAGGGGGGAUAACUACUGGAAACGGUAGCUAAUACCGCAUAACGUCGCAAGACCAAAGAGGGGGACCUUCGGGCCUCUUGCCAUCGGAUGUGCCCAGAUGGGAUUAGCUAGUAGGUGGGGUAACGGCUCACCUAGGCGACGAUCCCUAGCUGGUCUGAGAGGAUGACCAGCCACACUGGAACUGAGACACGGUCCAG
rnacentral:rRNA from 1 species